rnacentral:lncRNA from 1 species
GCAAGACCAGUAUUUUAAAGCUGAUCAUCUCCUAUUGAGGAAUCCUUUGCCUGCAACUGAGGAGAACGCCAAUUUGAAGUCUAGUGUACCAAUGAGAGCACCUGGACGGAAGGCAACCAGUGUGUUAGUGACAAAUGCAAAAUCAUGAUGUUGGCAGAUGAAUGCCACCCAAGGAGCACUCCUGGAGGGUCGGUGCGAUUGCUCAGCUUGUUAGCUCAAGGGCCAACAGGAGAGUUGCUGGGGUGCUCUUGUCAGGGAGGGGAACAUCAGGACACAUCUCUACUGUCUCAUCCUGCCUGCAACAGAACAUGACCGAAAACAGUGGCCUAGGGGCAGAACUGAAGCAGAUUUACGCCGUUUUUCUUCCUUUGACUUCAGUGCUUUCUUAACUGUGUGGUCACGGAGUAGAUAUCAUCAAUUUAUAUUCUGUGUGUACAGCAAAAUUUUGGCUACCAAAUAGUGGUUAAUUUAAUAAUCUGGUCAAUUUAGAGGUAAUAAAUGAAAUAUUAAUAGAAAUGAAUUAACUUUUCAAGUAAGAAAUAAAUUAUUUGUUCAUUCUUUCCCCAAAUGCUGUUGAAUCUUGGCGACACGGAGCAUACAAAUGAGCGGCUGUCCCUGAACUGUGGAGCCGAGGAUGGACAUGGCCCGGGGCCCGAGGCAUCACUUUCAUGCUUGUUUACUUAUGAUUAUGCAAACUAAGAAGUAAAUGAAACAUAUAUU